AGAGUGAACGCUGGCGGCAGGCCUAAUACAUGCAAGUCGAACGGCAGCACAGCAGAGCUUGCUCUGUGGGUGGCGAGUGGCGGACGGGUGAGGAAUACAUGGGAAUCUGCCCAGUCGUGGGGGAUAACGUAGGGAAACUUACGCUAAUACCGCAUGCGCCCUUCGGGGGAAAGCCGGGGACCUUCGGGCCUGGCGCGAUUGGAUGAGCCCAUGUCGGAUUAGCUAGUUGGCGGGGUAAAGGCCCACCAAGGCGACAAUCCGUAGCUGGUCUGAGAGGAUGAUCAGCCACACUGGAACUGAGACACGGUCCAGACUCCUACGGGAGGCAGCAGUAGGGAAUAUUGGACAAUGGGCGAAAGCCUGAUCCAGCCAUGCCGCGUGAGUGAUGAAGGCCCUAGGGUUGUAAAGCUCUUCACCGGU
rnacentral:rRNA from 1 species